AUGAAGUGCAAUUCUCUGUCCUUUUCCUCAUACUUCUAUCUCUAGAAUAAGCCUCACAUUCAAGUUUGACAGCAGUACAAUCAGUUUUCCAUUCAUCACUGGCCCUGUUUUAACCCUGCUGAAAAAGGGCCUAAUGUACGUGGCAGUGAUGGCAAUUAGGCAGAAAAGUAAUAUUAGAAACAGACAAAAGCCUGAGUCUUUUAGCAUUACAGGUGUUUUUUUUUUUUUUUAGCCCGUUCUAGACAUAAAGGAAUAGGCAGUGUUGUUAAGUUCCCUUCUUCAGUCUUCUCUUAAGCUGAAAGUCCAACGAUUUCAAGAUUCAAUUAAUUAGAGACAUGGAGAGCCAAAGUACAAGAUACCUGUACGGAGAACUUGGGAGGCAUUUUUAUAAGCUCAUUGUCAAGUGAAUGUUAAAGUCCCCAUUCACUGAGAAGCAAAGGGUGAAGAAAUGAGACCCUACAUGGCUUUUUAGUGCAUUGAUGGAGCAGAGACACGUCUAUGAACAACUGCCUAUGCAAACUGAUUACUCGGCAGUAUAAUUUAUCAGUUUGUAUGAGUAAGUGAGUGCUUCUCACUAUGGAUUUAGCUUGCACUUCAAUUUAGAACUAGAAGGAAUAAGUGGAAAUCAGGAGAAACAUUAAAGACAUUCCAGUGUCACUGAGCAUGCCGAAACCUGAAAACAUGGUAAGUUUAUUGCUUUGCCAAAUAACAAAGCCUUCUAAAAAC